AGACCCGAAACCCGGUGAUCUAGCCAUGGGCAGGUUGAAGGUUGGGUAACACUAACUGGAGGACCGAACCGACUAAUGUUGAAAAAUUAGCGGAUGACCUGUGGCUGGGGGUGAAAGGCCAAUCAAACCGGGAGAUAGCUGGUUCUCCCCGAAAGCUAUUUAGGUAGCGCCUCGUGAAUUCAUCUCCGGGGGUAGAGCACUGUUUCGGCUAGGGGGCCAUCCCGGCUUACCAACCCGAUGCAAACUGCGAAUACCGGAGAAUGUUAUCACGGGAGACACACGGCGGGUGCUAACGUCCGUCGUGAAGAGGGAAACAACCCAGACCGCCAGCUAAGGUCCCAAAGUCAUGGUUAAGUGGGAAACGAUGUGGGAAGGCCCAGACAGCCAGGAUGUUGGCUUAGAAGCAGCCAUCAUUUAAAGAAAGCGUAAUAGCUCACUGGUCGAGUCGGCCUGCGCGGAAGAUGUAACGGGGCUAAACCAUGCACCGAAGCUGCGGCAGCGACGCUGAUGCGUUGUUGGGUAGGGGAGCGUUCUGUAAGCCUGCGAAGGUGUGUCGUGAGGCAUGCUGGAGGUAUCAGAAGUGCGAAUGCUGACAUAAGUAACGAUAAAGCGGGUGAAAAGCCCGCUCGCCGGAAGACCAAGGGUUCCUGUCCAACGUUAAUCGGGGCAGGGUGAGUCGACCCCUAAGGCGAGGCCGAAAGGCGUAGUCGAUGGGAAACGGGUUAAUAUUCCCGUACUUGGUGUUACUGCGAAGGGGGGACGGAGAAGGCUAUGUUGGCCGGGCGACGGUUGUCCCGGUUUAAGCGUGUAGGUGUGUGUUCCAGGUAAAUCCGGUUCACUUUAACACUGAGGCGUGAUGACGAGGCACUACGGUGCUGAAGCAACAAAUGCCCUGCUUCCAGGAAAAGCCUCUAAGCAUCAGGUAACAUCAAAUCGUACCCCAAACCGACACAGGUGGUCAGGUAGAGAAUACCAAGGCGCUUGAGAGAACUCGGGUGAAGGAACUAGGCAAAAUGGUGCCGUAACUUCGGGAGAAGGCACGCUGACACGUAGGUGAAGUGAUUUACUCAUGGAGCUGAAGUCAGUCGAAGAUACCAGCUGGCUGCAACUGUUUAUUAAAAACACAGCACUGUGCAAACACGAAAGUGGACGUAUACGGUGUGACGCCUGCCCGGUGCCGGAAGGUUAAUUGAUGGGGUCAGCGCAAGCGAAGCUCCUGAUCGAAGCCCCGGUAAACGGCGGCCGUAACUAUAACGGUCCUAAGGUAGCGAAAUUCCUUGUCGGGUAAGUUCCGACCUGCACGAAUGGCGUAAUGAUGGCCAGGCUGUCUCCACCCGAGACUCAGUGAAAUUGAACUCGCUGUGAAGAUGCAGUGUACCCGCGGCAAGACGGAAAGACCCCGUGAACCUUUACUAUAGCUUGACACUGAACAUUGAGCCUUGAUGUGUAGGAUAGGUGGGAGGCUUUGAAGUGUGGACGCCAGUCUGCAUGGAGCCGGCCUUGAAAUACCACCCUUUAAUGUUUGAUGUUCUAACGUGGACCCGUGAUCCGGGUUGCGGACAGUGUCUGGUGGGUAGUUUGACUGGGGCGGUCUCCUCCUAAAGAGUAACGGAGGAGCACGAAGGUUGGCUAAUCCUGGUCGGACAUCAGGAGGUUAGUGCAAUGGCAUAAGCCAGCUUGACUGCGAGCGUGACGGCGCGAGCAGGUGCGAAAGCAGGUCAUAGUGAUCCGGUGGUUCUGAAUGGAAGGGCCAUCGCUCAACGGAUAAAAGGUACUCCGGGGAUAACAGGCUGAUACCGCCCAAGAGUUCAUAUCGACGGCGGUGUUUGGCACCUCGAUGUCGGCUCAUCACAUCCUGGGGCUGAAGUAGGUCCCAAGGGUAUGGCUGUUCGCCAUUUAAAGUGGUACGCGAGCUGGGUUUAGAACGUCGUGAGACAGUUCGGUCCCUAUCUGCCGUGGGCGCUGGAGAACUGAGGGGGGCUGCUCCUAGUACGAGAGGACCGGAGUGGACGCAUCACUGGUGUUCGGGUUGUCAUGCCAAUGGCACUGCCCGGUAGCUAAAUGCGGAAGAGAUAAGUGCUGAAAGCAUCUAAGCACGAAACUUGCCCCGAGAUGAGUUCUCCCUGAGACUUAGAGUCUCCUGAAGGAACGUUGAAGACGACGACGUUGAUAGGCCGGGUGUGUAAGCGCAGCGAUGCGUUGAGCUAACCGGUACUAAUGAACCGUGAGGCUUAACCUUACAACGCCGAAG
rnacentral:rRNA from 6 species